GGGAAGUUGAAUGAAUGGUUUGAACCCCAGAAUCCAGACAAAUAACACAGAAAUCUAUGACCAAAAGAAAGUUGAGAUGCUCCUAUGGAUCUGUGUAUUGCGAAAUUGAAAGAUAACAGUUUGCGUGUGUUUUAGUGUAUCUGAAAAGCUUCCAGAGGCAGGCUGUGGCAGAGACUGAGCUAAAGACGACAAAGCAAUAGGCCCCAUUAGCCGGAAUGGGUCUUUGGCUCUUUGCUCCCCACCAUCUACAUCUAUACUUCCGCUGCAUGAUUACUUAGAUUUUAUGACUCAAAUUCAUAGUUGUUGUGACUGUUUGAUAAUCUAAUGAAAACCAACACAGGCCGGUUUGUUCGCUUUGGACGGUAAGGGUAUUGAUGACCUCGUUUCACCACUCUCACGAAAGAGUUGAAAGCGCCUGGUUUUUCAGGCGUUUGGUUUGUUACAGUCGAUGCUGAAGCAGACUUGUUGCGACCUUGUGCUUAUGUUUC
rnacentral:lncRNA from 1 species